CUCUGGGCCGCGGGCAGCGCUUGCACCUUCCUGCUAGGCGUCGCCGGACCUGUGCUUCGUGAGUAUUCACUACCCUGAGACGGCCGAGAAAACGGCCAGCGCUUGCGCACAGUGGCAGCCCUUCCCUGCCCUGAGAAGAGGCCGAGAAACCAGGCGGGCACUUGGCCACACCCCCUUCACAAAGCGCCUUCCCUGGCUUUGCCUUCCUUCUUCUGGGAACGCCCCUCUUUAACUACCGCCUUUUCUGGCUUCCCUGUUGGUAUUAAGUGUCUUCCACCAGCCACGUCCCAGUUGCUGUGCGCCCUCCCUGGCCACGCCCCAGCUGCAAAACUCUGUACUCAGCCACACUUUAAGAUCAGAGGCAUCCUGGCCACUUAAGACUGUUGGCCUGCCUGUGCUCCAAUUCCCCUCCGUGGUCCCCCCACUGGCUAAAGCUGAUGUCUCACCCCACUGACCCCACUCCUCUCGGCACUGCCCACAGUGAUUCUGGUGCACGCCUCACUGCGCCUGCGGAACCUCAAGAACAAGAUUGAGAACAAGAUUGAGAGUAUUGGUCUCAAGCGGACGCCAAUGGGGCUGCUACUGGAGGCGCUGGGACAAGAGCAGGAGGCUGGAUCGUAGGGGUCUAGGAUUUGUACCCAAGACCUGGAGAAUGCCACCCCCACCCUGGCCCUGUACUGGGACCCAGAGCCCUUUCCAAGCCCUUGAAAUAGAGGGCCCCGUCCAGUUCAGAAAGCAGGACAUCUGUGACCCUCCCCCUGAUCAGCUCCCAUUACCUAGGGGACCAGACUCUUCUUCAGCCCUGAACUUGAGGGCUUGGAUACCUGAGCAUCCAUGGCCAUCCUCAAACCCUGGACCCAGUGAUACUCCCCCAUCUCCAGUCUGGGACCCACCCAUCUCCCACCCUCAGCGCCAAAGGUGGGAUCUGGGCCCAAGGCAUUCUCUUGAACCCUGGACUAAGGCUUUUCUAGACCCCCACCCCAGCUUUGAACCCAGAUCAGGGCAUUGCCAAAUCUUGAACCCAGGACCCAAGUGUUCCCAGCCCCCAUCAGGACAGAGGAUUCAGGCAUCCUGACCCUGUCGAACCCUUGGUUCCAGGUGACCCGAACCCUCUCCAGUCCCACUUGCCUCCCUCCAGCUCUGCUUAGUGAUUCUGCUCCUCUCUCCAACAUCCCACAGUGAUGAGGACCAAGGGGUGGGGUGGGGGUAGCCCUGACCUGGAAUGGGGCAUCUGUAUCAGUGUUACGGCAACAAUAAAGACUGUUGCAUCUCUCAAGCCGAU
rnacentral:lncRNA from 1 species